rnacentral:rRNA from 1 species
GACAGAGGGUGCAACCGUUGUUCGGAAUUACUGGGCGUAAAGCGUGUGUAGGCGGUUUUGCAAGUCGGACGUGAAAGCCCCGGGCUCAACCCGGGAAGUGCGCUCGAUACUGCAGGACUCGAGUCUCGGAGAGGUUGGUAGAAUUCUCGGUGUAGAGGUGAAAUUCGUAGAUAUCGAGAGGAAUACCUGUGGCGAAGGCGGCCAACUGGACGAAGACUGACGCUGAGACACGAAAGCGUGGGGAGCAAACAGG